GUGAUUCUGCAUCUCAAAUGACUCCACCUUUAAUGGACAGUGUCCAUGCAAGAAAUCCAGCGGGGAUGACUGUGAUUGAAGAGUAUCAAGAGACUGGGAGCUUGAAAGAUUCCACAAGGCGGUUAAUGGUGAACAUUAUUGUUGCUCACAUGCAUGAAAAAGAAGGGAGAGCUAUUAGUAAAGCAACGAAGGAGUUCCAUGCCCUUGGGAUUGUGUCACUGUUCCCAUCUUUGAAAGACCCAUACUCUAA